CUCGGGUGCUUAGGAAUGGCUUCUUUUUUGACAUGUGUUGCAUGACAACACAUAUCCCUCCUCCAUAUCUCCCUCGACUUACCCUUACCCUCAUUGGCUCUUUCUCUCUCCUCCAUAUUUUCACAGACAUCCUUUGUCUCUCUCUAGACUUCACCCAAGGAGAAGCUUGCCUCCCCUGACUCUCUCUCUUUCUUCCCUUUCUACUUUCUCUCUUUCACUUUAUCUUCUCGAGAUUUUCACUUUUUUCCCUUCUGUGUUUAGACUGUCUUUCCCUCUCUCUUCACAGACCCGAGAGGUCUCAGGCUGACCAGCCUCUUCACUGACGAUGGGGAUAUCCCAACACUGACGCUGAGUGAUAAAUUUGACGAUGAGUGGCCCAGCAUGAACUACGACCCUUGUGGCACGUGUUCCACUGUGAUCUCGAACCCGUUGCUUAUGUUAAAUGGUUGCCUUGCCGAGGAAGCCAUGGGUUUGUUCAUCUGCUGAGAGAAGCUUGAAGCUUGCCAAGGUCGCGAGCGAUAUCUUCAUUUACUAAGGCAAGGGAUUUCUUCGUCUGUUGAGGUGCCAUUGUUCGACAGUAGCUAAUCUUGGCCUCUAUAGUCAGGGUUUUGCUAUUCAGCGACAAUGGAGUAUUGUUCCUCUCCUUUUUCGGUGAUGUUUGCAGCGCAAGGUCUAUGGAAGCCUUGAUUUCAAGGUUGUGCAUCACCUUCUCGAGAUCUCUUAGAGUGAUUAUGGUAUGCUUUUCAAAGGUUCAGGGUUUCUCUUUAUCAGUUCAAGCUCUAUGAAAAGAUACGGAUGAAGAUAUGGCUUCUUCUCUUUGAUUAGCCACAGGUUCGUAGUUUCAUUAAUAGGGUUUCUCUCUACCGGUUCAAGCUAUGUCUGGGUUUCAGGAGCGGUUUUUUCAAGGGGUUUCUUUCUGAGUUCUUCUUGGGUGAUUUUCUUGCCUACUCUCUUUCUCUCUUUGUCCGAGAGAAGCGAGUUUCUCUCCUUCGUAUCUCCAUUUCCAUUAUCCUAUUGCUAUAAAGGAUUUCUUCUCAAUCAAUGUCUUCUUUGUCAAUAAAGGUGAUUUUGAGCUACCCUACAACUAAUUUCCAAGGAUUUUGUGGAUAUUUUUUUCUCUAUUAGGGUUUAACGAUGGAGGGUUCAUCAUUUUUUUCAUUUUCCUUCUUUCUUUUAUUAUUUUACUCACGAUUAUUCAUUUCCCCUUUUUUACCACUUGUGAGGAUUGUUCCCACCGCUACAACAAACCCAAAUCCAUGCCAUCGAAGAGCAACAACAAGCCAUAAUAAAAUCUUGAUAUGGGGGUUGCCUUGGUAGGGUUCUUCAUUUUGGGACAGAGCUUCCUACCUAUGUUUGUUUUUGUUUGAGCUAGAGUAAGAAUUGGUACGGUUUUGUGCUUUCUUUUUCCCUUUUCCACUUGGGCUUCGGGCUCCCUGCUUUAGCUGUAGUGCAGUGGACAUUUUCCCAUUAACGACAGUUAAAAAUCAAAUGUGAUGAAUGUAUUCAUGAUUGUUGAUCUUUGAGUUUCAAGAAGUGUGCGACAGUUAUAAUUAUUCUUUUCGUCAAUUUGUUGUUCAUGCUGCUCUUGGUGAGUUUAAAGUAACCACAUAACUUGGGACCACCUUGACUUAUAUGAUAUAAGAUGAAAUAAAUGAAUGAUUGAACGACUGUUUUAUAAAAAAUCUUAUUAUAUGGACCUGGUUGACACAUCUUGGGUCUGAGGUCUCACUGUAGAAAAAUUGGUACAUCACUUAUAGUUUUUAUUCAUCAUUUUCUAGAAUUAUUUUCUUACUUUGCUUUUUAGUUUGUCAUCAUAUGUAGAAAGAAAAUAAGGAUUUGCUUCACUUUAUUAUGGUUAUGGUUUUAAUUUUAUAGGGAUUUGGCUUUGGGUUGCUACAGUUAUUAUAUGAAUAGAUCAAUUAUUGUUUUUAAAUUAUUUUCUUCAGCCAUAUUGGCAACUUUCUAACACUAAUUCAUUCUUAUUUUGUAUUUGAAGUGGAAAUCUGAGUGAACCAUUAUUAAAAAUUGGUGUUGAUGUGUCUCUAUCUGGAUAUCCAACUUUUCAUUCCCUUUCUUUUUUAUUUCAGAAGGUUUGAGGUGGAUGUAUACCACCAUCAAAACUUGAUCUUUAUGUAUCUCUAUAUCAAUUUGUAACAACUUCAUUAUGUAUCAAUUUGUGGCUACUUGGAAGAAAACGAUAUCUCACACAAGCCUUUACAUCUAUUAUCUAAACAAUGAAUAUGAGUUUAUAUGACUUUUGGCAUUA